GAUGAACGCUGGCGGCGUGCCUAAUACAUGCAAGUCGAGCGAACGGACGAUAAGCUUGCUUCUCUGAUGUUAGCGGCGGACGGGUGAGUAACACGUGGAUAACCUACCUAUAAGACUUGGAUAACUUCGGGAAACCGGAGCUAAUACCGGAUAAUAUUUUGAACCGCAUGGUUCAAAAGUGAAUGACGGUCUUGCUGUCACUUAUAGAUGGAUCCGCGCUGCAUUAGCUAGUUGGUAAGGUAACGGCUUACCAAGGCAACGAUGCAUAGCCGACCUGAGAGGGUGAUCGGCCACACUGGAACUGAGACACGGUCCAGACUCCUACGGGAGGCAGCAGUAGGGAAUCUUCCGCAAUGGGCGAAAGCCUGACGGAGCAACGCCGCGUGAGUGAUGAAGGUCUUCGGAUCGUAAAACUCUGUUAUUAGGGAAGAACAUAUGUGUAAGUAACUGUGCACAUCUUGACGGUACCUAAUCAGAAAGCCACGGCUAACUACGUG
rnacentral:rRNA from 1 species